AUUAAACGCUGGCGGCAUGCCUUACACAUGCAAGUCGAACGGCAGCACGGGGGCAACCCUGGUGGCGAGUGGCGGACGGGUGAGUAACACAUCGGAACGUGCCCUGGAGUGGGGGAUAACGCAGCGAAAGCUACGCUAAUACCGCAUAUUCUGUGAGCAGGAAAGCAGGGGAUCGCAAGACCUUGCGCUUUGGGAGCGGCCGAUGUCGGAUUAGCUAGUUGGUGGGGUAAAGGCUUACCAAGGCGACGAUCCGUAGCGGGUCUGAGAGGAUGAUCCGCCACACUGGGACUGAGACACGGCCCAGACUCCUACGGGAGGCAGCAGUGGGGAAUUUUGGACAAUGGGCGGAAGCCUGAUCCAGCCAUGCCGCGUGAGUGAAGAAGGCCUCGGUUGUAAG
rnacentral:rRNA from 1 species